GAACUCUACACCUAAAUUUCUCUGUCAUCCGGGUCUGAACUUCAUUCAGCUCAUCAGGUCUUCUCUGUUGCCUUGGUAGGAGGACGAAGAAUCACAGAGCAGAGCCUUUGAUUGAUGCUGCAAUUCAAUGGAAAGAGCAUGGCUUUGGAGUAGACCGAUCUGAGUCUGAAGGCUAAUUCUACUCUUCAUAGCUGUACACCUCUACGUAUGUGCCUUAAACUUUGAAUCUCAAUUUCCUUAACUGUAAGAUGGGUAUAAUAAUAUCUAUUUUAAGAACUGUUUUGAGUAUUAAAAAAUGUAUGUAAAGCACCUAGCUUGGUUAUCUUCAUAAAUGCUAGCAAUCAUUGAUAUCCA
rnacentral:lncRNA from 1 species